UGGCUCAGGACGAACGCUGGCGGCGUGCUUAACACAUGCAAGUCGAGCGGAAAGGCUCCUUCGGGGGUACUCGAGCGGCGAACGGGUGAGUAACACGUGAGUAAUCUGCCCUUGGCUUUGGGAUAACUACCGGAAACGGUGGCUAAUACCGGAUACGACCACUCCUUGCAUGAGGUGGUGGUGGAAAGUUUUUUCGGCCAGGGAUGUGCUCGCGGCCUAUCAGCUUGUUGGUGGGGUAAUGGCCUACCAAGGCUUCGACGGGUAGCCGGCCUGAGAGGGUGACCGGCCACACUGGGAUUGAGACACGGCCCAGACUCCUACGGGAGGCAGCAGUGGGGAAUAUUGGACAAUGGGCGGAAGCCUGAUCCAGCAACGCCGCGUGAGGGAUGACGGCCUUCGGGUUGUAAACCUCUUUCAGUACCGACGAAGCGCCGAUGAUGGUGGUGACGGUAGGUACAGAAGAAGCACCGGCCAACUACGUG
rnacentral:rRNA from 1 species